AAAAGCUCGUUGGCAUGCUGCCAUUUUAUCGCGCUCCACUGUGCACGUUCAUAUGCAAAACGUGUGGAAAUGAAAAAAAUAAAAACAAUUAAGCUGGGUUCCAUCACAGUUUCUUUAAAUUAAAAAAUAUAUAUAUUUGUCCAGGUUCACAUUUCUAUUUUGUUUCCUUGCAUCUUUUAAACUUGUCUGUCGAAUAAGGAUUACAAGCUAGCCUUAAUAAAUUUUUUAA